UCCUACCAUAUUGCGCCUUGAAUUCAUUCUUCCGUUACUCGCCAUCUUGUCUUUGAUGUGCGCGGAUGUCUAGUACUUGAUCUGAAACUGAUUUUUCAUAUUGAAGUGUUCUUUUUAUUAUUUCUGAAGAUCAAAAGAAAUUUAAGAAAAUGAGUUACGGCAGACCACCGCCUCGUAUUGAUGGGAUGGUUUCCUUGAAAGUGGAUAAUCUUACGUAUAGAACGACGCCGGAGGAUUUGAGACGCGUGUUCGAAAGAUGUGGUGAGGUCGGCGACAUUUACAUCCCUAGAGAUCGCUUUACUCGAGAAAGUCGUGGAUUUGCAUUCGUCAGAUUCUAUGAUAAACGCGAUGCGGAAGAUGCAUUAGAUGCUAUGGAUGGAAGGCUGUUAGAUGGUAGGGAACUUAGAGUUCAAAUGGCACGAUAUGGACGACCAACUUCACCACACCGAAGUCGUGGCAGUCGUCGACGAGGAAGAUCACGUAGCAGGAGCAGAGAUCGAAGACGCUCACGUUCUAGAUCACGUAGUAGAUCAAGAAGUCGUGAUAGAGAUCGUAGGCGUUCAUAUAGUCGCAGUCGUAGUCGUUCGCGUUCUGACAGUAAAAGUUCACGUGGAAAGUCUCGUUCUCGUAGCAAGUCUCCAGAUAGACAAAAAGAUAGUCGUUCCAAAUCAAGGGACUGAAGUUGAACCAUAUACAAGUACAACUACAAACAGAUGCACGCGCCGCAAGUGCAGAAUAAUCGUUUCUUGAGAACAAAAAAGGCGGUGGAAAGGAGUGGCGUGGCGAGUGUAGCUGAUGAUGGGGUAGCUGAGAGUAAGCAGUAAGCCGAGUAGCAGGGCUGUAAGCAGUUUGCAGUAGCGAGCGGUUGGUGGUCUGGUGAAAGCAGGUUCGCGCGAGUCGAUCAGGGCGAGAAAAAGAGAGAAAGUGUGUGAGCGAAAGCUGUCUCUCUCUCUAUGGGGGGUCGGCGUGCAGAAAUUGCAGAGGGUACGGUCUCGAGAAUGCAGACAAAUUUGCAGAGAGCACAACGAAAAGCCACACACAGUUGCUGGUCUUGACCACCGUCCGGUUUGCAGGUAGCACGUGAACAUCACCAGACCUCGCGAGCGACGACUCGACAUUUCAACUUUUAUG
rnacentral:misc_RNA from 1 species